UGCUUUGAUUAACAAAAAAUAGUGAUUAGGUCUAUGGGAGGUAAUUUAAUUUUAAUUUUCUUUUUUAGCCUGGCAGAUGAGAAGAAAGUUUCAAGCAGCCAUGUUGAGGGAAUUGCUGGCCAAAGAGGAUUUUGGGGUAGUGAAUCUGCAACAAGACUGCCCGAGGCUCUGAACUCUGGAUAACUGCGUCUUCAAAUGCCGGCGAGACAUUUCAGUCCCAUAGCAGCUCCAUGGACACACCUUCUUCAGAACAUCCCGUCUUCCGUCAUAAAGUCACACUGGAUAUACACUGCUCCACUUGGCUUGGGGAAGAUGUAAACAACUUGAUCUUCAGAUAGGUUUAUUUUCACAGACGUGACACUUCAGCACCCAGAAGGAAUUGAUCUGAAUAGAACUCAACAGAAACAGAUGCAUGAUCAACAGCCCCUUCCCUAGUGGCACCCAUAAAGAUGAUCUGUUGCCAUGCUA